rnacentral:rRNA from 1 species
UACGUAGGGUGCAAGCGUUAAUCGGAAUUACUGGGCGUAAAGCGUGCGCAGGCGGUUUUGUAAGUCUGUCGUGAAAUCCCCGGGCUCAACCUGGGAAUUGCGAUGGAGACUGCAAGGCUAGAAUCUGGCAGAGGGGGGGUAGAAUUCCACGUGUAGCAGUGAAAUGCGUAGAGAUGUGGAGGAACACCGAUGGCGAAGGCAGCCCCCUGGGUCAAGACUGACGCUCAUGCACGAAAGCGUGGG